UCGUUGGGUCCUUGAGGACUUAGUGACGCAGCUAACGCAAUAAGUAGACCGCCUGGGGAGUACGGCCGCAAGGUUAAAACUCAAAUGAAUUGACGGGGGCCCGCACAAGCGGUGGAGCAUGUGGUUUAAUUCGAUGCAACGCGAAGAACCUUACCUGGUCUUGACAUAUCUAGAAUCCUGCAGAGAUGCGGGAGUGCCUUCGGGAAUUAGAAUACAGGUGCUGCAUGGCUGUCGUCAGCUCGUGUCGUGAGAUGUUGGGUUAAGUCCCGCAACGAGCGCAACCCUUGUCCUUAGUUACCAGCGGGUUAAGCCGGGAACUCUAAGGAUACUGCCAGUGACAAACUGGAGGAAGGCGGGGACGACGUCAAGUCAUCAUGGCCCUUACGACCAGGGCUACACACGUGCUACAAUGGUAGGUACAGAGGGCAGCUACACAGCGAUGUGAUGCGAAUCUCAAAAAGCCUAUCGUAGUCCAGAUUGGAGUCUGCAACUCGACUCCAUGAAGUAGGAAUCGCUAGUAAUCGCGGAUCAGAAUGCCGCGGUGAAUACGUUCCCGGGCCUUGUACACACCGCC
rnacentral:rRNA from 1 species